GUUUGAAGUAUGUCAAAUUUAUAACUUACUAUCGGUACGAGUUUUGCUCAUUGUUAAAGGCCGUAUACAAUGACCUAUAAUUGCUUAAAUUCGCUUCGUUUGAAUAGCUUUCUCAUUGGCAAUCAUAGAACAUCUCUAUAUUUUAUAUUGACAACGCCAUGGCGAAAAUAAGUCUCACUCGAGUACGUCACAUACGAGAAAAAGAGGAUGGUCGUAUGGUUACGACAAUGGGAACAUAUCCAUCGUCAUCUGUGGAACAACUAUUACAUAGCGGUAAACCAAUGUGUGAUGGCGUCCGUAAAAUGUUCGAAGGGAUGACUUAUACUUUACCACUUGGAACCUUUGGUUCAUUUGAAGAAAAACAAAAUGCACAGAAAGUAAAACGUUCACAAUUGGAAAUUAGCCGAUAAGGAUCAAAGAUUUCCUCUGGAGACAGCAAUAUAGAAAUAGAAAGAAUUAGAAUGAUUGCCCAUGAGGCAGCUCUCUACCAGGGACCAAAUGAAGUAGAACAAGCACAUACAGAAAGUGGCGGUGAUACACAGCGAAAACCAAAUGAGAUAUACAGACUACUUACUUCUAAAUGACGUGAAUGAGAAGAACAAAAAAGAAAAGCACAUACAACUUGAAGACAGGUUCACGUUGCAGAAAAAGGUUCAACCAUAUCGAGUGCACCUCAGUCUAUUUUAUUUCAACAACACUAUAAGAUAUAAUGAAUGAGCACAUAUGAAGAGAUUACAAGCGUGCAAUCAAUUUAAAUUCUUUUGUUGUUCAUCGGAAUUCCCCCAUCUUAUAUUAUUUCAGAAUUAAAAGAGAAUUAUGAUCAAAAUAUUAUAUCUUUUAUUCAUAAAAAAUGAAUUGUUAUAGUUAUAUUAUUUUGUACAUAUAUUAGGCCGUUAGUUUUCUCGUUUUAAUUGUUUUACAUUUGUCAUUUCGGGGCCUUUUAUAGCUGACUAUGCGGUAUGGGCUUUGCUCAUUGUUGAAGGCCGUACGGUGACCUAUAUUUGUUAAUUUCUGUGUCAUUUGGUAUAUUGUGGAGAUUUGUCUCAUUGGCAAUCUUAUCAUAU